GUCCAUAGUAAGGAAAUAUCUUGAAAGUACCAAUCCCAUCUGCUCUUGAAAGUUAAACUAUGCCCGCUGUGAUUGCUACUUUGAUUGGAGACCACCAAUGAGUUCCAGGUGCUGUGGGCU
rnacentral:rRNA from 11 species